GCCAAUUUGGCUCAGUAGUUAGAGCACUGGCCUGCUGACUGAAAGGUCACCAGUUAGAUUCUGGUCAAGGGCA
rnacentral:tRNA from 1 species